rnacentral:rRNA from 1 species
UUGAAGCCCGAGUAAACGGCGGCCGUAACUAUAACGGUCCUAAGGUAGCGAAAUUCCUUGUCGGUUAAAUACCGACCUGCAUGAAUGGCGUAACGAGAUGGGAGCUGUCUCAACCAGAGAUUCAGUGAAAUUGUAGUGGAGGUGAAAAUUCCUCCUACCCGCGGCAAGACGGAAAGACCCC